rnacentral:rRNA from 1 species
UACGGAGGAUGCAAGCGUUAUCCGGAAUGAUUGGGCGUAAAGCGUCCGCAGGUGGCUAUGUAAGUCUGCUGUUAAAGAGUGAGGCUCAACCUCAUAAAAGCAGUGGAAACUACAUGGCUAGAGUGCGUUCGGGGCAGAGGGAAUUCCUGGUGUAGCGGUGAAAUGCGUAGAGAUCAGGAAGAACACCGGUGGCGAAAGCGCUCUGCUAGGCCGCAACUGACACUGAGAGACGAAAGCUAGGGGAGCGAAUGGG